AAAGAAAAAAUGUUACGGGCAGUCAGAGAGAAAGGUCAGGUUACCUACAAAGGGAAGCCCAUCAGACUAACAGUGGAUCUCUCCGCAGAAAACCCACAAGCCAGAAGAGAGUGGGGACCAAUAUUCAACAUUCUUAAAAAAAAAGAAUUUUCAACUCAGAAUUUUGCAUACAGCCAAACUAAGCUUCAUAAGUGCAGGAGAAAUAAAAUCAUUUACAGACAAGCAAAUGCUGAGGGAUUAUGUCACCACCAGGCCUGCUUUACAAGAGCUCCUAAAGGAAGCACUAAACAGGGAUACAGAAAAUUAUCAAGAAUAUUCAGGACUUGAAUUCAGCUCUGGACCAAGCAGACCUAAUAGAC
rnacentral:lncRNA from 1 species